AAGACCCUUUUAGCGGCGGACUGGUGAGUAACGCGUGGGUGACCUACCUUUAGCCGGGGAUAGCCGUUAGAAAUAGCGGGUAAUAACGGAUGAGAUCGCAAGAUUGUGAUUUUGCGAGGAAAGAUGCUACGGCAUCGCCUGAAGAUGGGCCCGCGUCCCAUUAGCUAGUUGGUGGUGUAACGGACUACCAAAGCGAAGAUGGGUAGCCGGCUGAAAGGGUGAACGGCACACUGGGACUGAGAUACGGCCAGACUCCUACGGGAGGCAGCCAGCUAACGAAUAUUCCGCAAUGGACGAAAGUCUGACAGUGAGCGACGCCGCGUGGAUCGAGGAAGGCCGAAACGGUUGUCCAAAUCCUUUAUAUUGCUGAAGAAUAAGCGCGGUAGGGAAUGACCGCGUGAUAGACGUUAGGCAAUGAAUAAUGCCCCGGCUAAUUACGUGCCA
rnacentral:rRNA from 1 species